GGGCGGCUAGCUCAGUUGGUUAGAGCGUUGCUUUCACACGGCAGAGGUCACAGGUUCAAAUCUUGUGCCGCCCA
rnacentral:tRNA from 1 species